UGAGAAAUUGAGAAUCAGAACGUUCAUUCAAUUAAAGAAAACGUAUAUGAAAGAACCAUAAAACGAAACUCUUUUUAUGGUCUUUAUGCGUAUGUAAACCCACGCAAUUCAAUAACAAAUAACAAAUCGAAAUAAUAGAUUCAUCUCAGAUGGCAAACCAUUUCGAAAUCAAGAAAUUUUUUUUAGUUCAAUAUUUGUUGGAAUUGACACUUUAGAUCCAGAUAGAUCAUAUCUUGUAAAUUGGAAAUUCUUUCUUUUGUAUUCUUUAAUGACCAACAAUUGGAUUUCUUAAUUAAAUAAUGAGAACUAGCCAAUUUAUCUUUUGCCAGUCAUUUUUUUUUAUCAUCGUAAUAUCUUUCCCUCAAUUAUUCUAUUCCUGACUAUGGGUAAUUAGUGAAAUUUUUUCGAAAUAUUGGAUAUUUUGAUAGCAAGGGAGUUCUUUCUUCUCAAAAUCUGAACAAUAUUCAUUACUUAAAGUGGUUCUUUCGAUCAUUCAUCGAAAGGAGACACUUGAUUUUGAAUUUGACCAAUUGAGAUAUCAGGAAACAAUAUUCUCAAUUUCUUCAUUCGAAGUGAAUUCUUAGCCUAUUUCUGUAUUCUUUCUAGAUUCAAAGACUAACCACAAAAUCACAAAGAAAAUAGAUUCAUAAGUUCGAUACCUUGUAUAAAACUCAUGUGUGUAAGAAAUAUUCGAUCGCAUAGAGUGUACGGAUGGGUUGAUUAACAAUUCACAGAUGAAAAAAUGGCAAAAAAGAAAGCAUUCACCCCUCUUUUCUAUCUUGCAUAUAUAGUAUUUUUGCCCUGGUGGAUUUCUUUCUCAGUUAAUAAAUGUCUGGAAUCUUGGGUUACUAAUUGGUGGAAUACUGGGCAAUCCGAAAUUUUCUUGAAUACUAUUCAAGAAAAGAGUCUUCUAGAAAAAUUCAUAGAAUUAGAGGAACUCCUCUUCUUGGACGAAAUGAUCAAGGAAUACUCGGAAACACAUCUCGAAGAGUUUGGGAUAGGAAUCCAUAAAGAAACGAUCCAAUUAAUCAAGAUGCAAAAUGAGAAUCGUAUCCAUACGAUUUUGCACUUCUCAACAAAUAUCAUCUGUUUUAUUAUUCUAAGCGGGUAUUCAAUUUUGGGUAAUGAAAAACUUGUUAUUCUUAACUCUUGGGCUCAGGAAUUCCUAUAUAACGUAAGUGACACAGUAAAAGCUUUUUCUAUUCUUUUAUUAACUGAUUUAUGUAUCGGAUUCCAUUCACCCCGCGGUUGGGAAUUAAUUAUUGGCUCUAUCUAUAAAGAUUUUGGGUUUGUUCAUAAUGAUCAAAUUAUAUCUGGUCUUGUUUCCACCUUCCCAGUCAUUCUCGAUACAAUUUUUAAAUAUUGGAUUUUCCGUUAUUUAAAUCGUCUGUCUCCGUCACUUGUAGUUAUUUAUCAUUCAAUGAAUGACUGAUAAAGGAUCCAUUGAUAUUAAUCUAAUCCAAUUAGAAUGCUUGGUACUUUGUAGUUGUACAUAAGCAAAGUAUUGAAAAUCGUAUUUUAUCUUUCUAUUUCUAACCAUCGGGAAGAUUCAUCCUAUAUUAUUUCUAGAUUAUUCCAGCAAAUAGCAGAAUCGUGGCUAGGGAACUAUACUAGCGACCUACCCAAUUUAUUGUAGAAAUUUUCGCGAUCAAUGAUUGGACCAUGC
rnacentral:lncRNA from 1 species